AUACAGCUGACGAGUCCCAAAUAGGACGAAAUGCGCGUCCUGGAU
rnacentral:hammerhead_ribozyme from 1 species